rnacentral:rRNA from 1 species
AACGAUAUAGUGGCAGACGGGUGAGUAACGCGUGGGAACGUGCCUUUCACUACGGAAUAGCUCUUGGAAACGAGUGGUAAUACCGUAUACGCCCUCCGGGGGAAAGAUUUAUCGGUGAAAGAUCGGCCCGCGUUAGAUUAGCUAGAUGGUGGGGUAAUGGCCUACCAUGGCGACGAUCUAUAGCUGGUCUGAGAGGAUGAUCAGCCACACUGGGACUGAGACACGGCCCAGACUCCUACGGGAGGCAGCAGUGGGGAAUCUUGCACAAUGGGCGAAAGCCUGAUGCAGCCAUGCCGCGUGAAUGAUGAAGGCCUUAGGGUUGUAAAAUUCUUUCAACGGUGACGAUAAUGACGGUAGCCGUAGAAGAAGCCCCGGCUAACUUCGUGCCAGCAGCCGCGGUAAUACGAAGGGGGCUAGCGUUGUUCGGAAUUACUGGGCGUAAAGCGCGCGUAGGCGGACUAUUAAGCCAGAUGUGAAAUCCCGGGGCUCAACCUCGGAACUGCAUUUGGAACUGGUAGUCUAGAGGUCAGGAGAGGUUCGUGGAAUGCCGAGUGUAGAGGUGAAAUUCGUAGAUAUUCGGUGGAACACCAGUGGCGAAGGCGACGAACUGGACUGAUACUGACGCUGAGGUGCGAAAGUGUGGGGAGCAAACAGGAUUAGAUACCCUGGUAGUCCACACCGUAAACGAUGAGAGCUAGUUGUCGGCAGGCA